rnacentral:rRNA from 1 species
CCCUUAGAUGUUCUGGGCUGAACGCGCGCUACACUGAUGCAUGCAACGAGUUUUCGACCUUGCCUGAAAAGGUUGGGUAAUCUGUUUAACAUGUGUCGUGAUGGGGAUAGACCAUUGCAAUUAUUGAUCUUCAACGAGGAAUUCCUAGUAAGCGCGAGUCAUCAGCUCGUGCUGAUUAUGUCCCUGCCCUUUGUACACACCGCCCGUCGCCCCUACCGAUUGAGUGAUCCGGUGAAUGAUUCGGACCAGCGUGCUGCUCAGAUCCUGCGCAGUGUGCUGGGAAGUCUAGUGAACCUUAUCACUUAGAGGAAGGAGAAGUCGUAACA